rnacentral:rRNA from 1 species
UACGGGGGGGGGCAAGCGUUGUUCGGAUUUACUGGGCGUAAAGGGCGCGUAGGCGGCAAUUCAAGUCAUCUGUGAAAUCUCCGGGCUUAACUCGGAACGGUCAGAUGAUACUGCUUUGCUAGAGUACAGAAGGGGCAAUCGGAAUUCUUGGUGUAGCGGUGAAAUGCGUAGAUAUCAAGAGGAACACCUGAGGUGAAGACGGGUUGCUGGGCUGAUACUGACGCUGAGGCGCGAAAGCUAGGGUAGCAAACGGG